UACGUAGGUGGCAAGCGUUAUCCGGAUUUAUUGGGUUUAAAGGGUGCGUAGGCGGCUUUUUAAGUCAGCGGUGAAAUUUUGCAGCUUAACUGUAACAGUGCCGUUGAUACUGGGGAGCUAGGAUUUGGUUGCUGUGGGUGGAAUGUGUGGUGUAGCGGUGAAAUGCUUAGAGAUCACACAGAAUAUCGAUUGCGAAGGCAGCUCACAAAGCCAAGAUUGACGCUGAGGCACGAAAGUGUGGGGAUCAAACAGGAUUAGA
rnacentral:rRNA from 1 species